GAAUUCGCCCUUAGAGUUUGUUCCUGGCUCAGGACGAACGCUGGCGGCGCGCCUAACACAUGCAAGUCGAACGGGACCAUUUUAGAGUUUACUUUGAGAUGGUUUAGUGGCGGACGGGUGAGUAACACGUGAGCAACCUACCUUUCAGAGGGGGAUAACAGUUGGAAACGACUGCUAAUACCGCAUAACGUUGUAAAAGGGCAUCCACUUACAACCAAAAGAGAAAUCUGCUGAAAGAUGGGCUCGCGGCCGAUUAGAUAGUAGGCGGGGUAACGGCCCACCUAGUCAACGAUCGGUAGCCGGACUGAGAGGUUGAACGGCCACAUUGGGACUGAGACACGGCCCAGACUCCUACGGGAGGCAGCAGUGGGGGAUAUUGCACAAUGGGCGAAAGCCUGAUGCAGCGACGCCGCGUGAGGGAAGACGGUCUUCGGAUUGUAAACCUCUGUCUUUGGGGAAGAAUAGAGACGGUACCCAAAGAGGAAGCUCCGGCUAACUACGUGCCAGCAGCCGCGGUAAUACGUAGGGAGCGAGCGUUGUCCGGAAUUACUGGGUGUAAAGGGAGCGUAGGCGGGCUUGUAAGUUGAAUGUCUAAUCCACCGGCUCAACCGGUGAUCGCGUUCAAAACUGCAGGUCUUGAGUGAAGUAGAGGCAGGCGGAAUUCCUAGUGUAGCGGUGAAAUGCGUAGAUAUUAGGAGGAACACCAGUGGCGAAGGCGGCCUGCUGGGCUUUAACUGACGCUGAGGCUCGAAAGCGUGGGGAGCAAACAGGAUUAGAUACCCUGGUAGUCCACGCCGUAAACGAUGAUUACUAGGUGUGGGGAGAUCAAACUUUCCCGUGCCGGAGUAAACACAAUAAGUAAUCCACCUGGGGAGUACGGCCGCAAGGUUGAAACUCAAAGGAAUUGACGGGGGCCCGCACAAGCAGUGGAGCAUGUGGUUUAAUUCGAAGCAACGCGAAGAACCUUACCAAGUCUUGACAUCCUCCUGAAUGAUGGGUAAAGCCGUCAGGCCUUCGGGACAGGAGAGACAGGUGGUGCAUGGUUGUCGUCAGCUCGUGUCGUGAGAUGUUGGGUUAAGUCCCGCAACGAGCGCAACCCUUAUCCUCAGUAGCCAGCGGCCAGGCCGGGCACUCUGUGGAGACUGCCAGGGAGAACCUGGAGGAAGGUGGGGAUGACGUCAAAUCAUCAUGCCCCUUAUGAUUUGGGCUACACACGUGCUACAAUGGCGUAAACAAAGGGAAGCGAAGUGGCGACACGGAGCGAACCCCAAAAAUAACGUCUCAGUUCGGAUUGUAGUCUGCAACUCGACUACAUGAAGCUGGAAUCGCUAGUAAUCGCGGAUCAGAAUGCCGCGGUGAAUACAUUCCCGGGUCUUGCACUCACCGCCCGUCA
rnacentral:rRNA from 1 species